UAGCGUGCGAGGCGACUGAGGAGAUCGCGCGCGUUUUUUUCCUCCCCCCUCACAGAACGCAGCGAACAACAAAAACAAUUUAAAUUAUAUCCGUCAUUUUGGCAACACAAGUUUGAACGACGCUACGCACACGACCACAUCAUCAUCAUGUCGCAAGACGAAUGCUGGGGCUGGUCAGGCUGCGAGGAAGCGCUGCACGGAGCGUGCAGAGACGGAGACGCGGUCCGCCUGGCGCAGUUGCUACGUUCGGCAAGAUACGAUCCCCUCGCCGAAGACAGACUCUACGGCUGGGCUCCUCUUCACUGGGCCGCAUACUUUGGCAAGCUGGACUGCCUCUCCACGCUUGUGCAGGCCGGCGCCAGCGUCACAACGGUGACGUCGCGCUACGCUCAGACGCCGGCGCACAUCGCGGCCUUUGGAGGCCACCAGCACUGCCUGCUGUGGCUGCUGAGGGUCGGGGCAAACGUCAACCAGCAGGACUACCUGGGCGAGACUCCCCUGCACAAGGCUGCUCGCUCCGGGAGUGAGGAAUGCGUCCAUUUGCUGGUGGCGUGCGGAGCGCAAGUUGAAGUGCCCAACCACAGCGGCAUCACCCCGCUGGAGUUGGCUAUCUCUCAGGGCUUCUCGCGCCCCGCCGCCUUCCUCGCCAACGAGCUUGCCCGUCGCCGCGGCGACGCCGGAGGAGGAGGUGUGGGAGGAGCGGCGGUGGCGGCGGCGGCGGCUGCGGCGGCGGCGGCGUCGGUCUCCAACGGUGACGGAGGAGGGCGCAGCCGCAAGCGUUCCCACGGCGACGCCAACGCCAACGGUGACGAGAAGAAAGCGCGUUGCCAAGACGACGAUGUGGAGGAGGAGGAGGAGUUGGUGGAGAACGCCUGGCCCUACAUUCUCCACGGACCGGAGCGCGCCUGGUGUGCCGACGCGGAAAGACACGGCACGGGUUUCUGCCCCGCGGAACGCGGACUGCCCCAGGCGGAUCCCAGCAACGGGGUUGGUGGUGGCAGUGGUGGCGGCGGCGGCGGUGUUGGUGGUGGGGAAACGGGCGCCGCAAAUCCUGGGACGGAUUCCUGUUCCCAUUCCCCGUCCAACGUAAUGGAUUUCUCCAACGGAGGGGCGGCGGAGUGCGGGAUGGAGUGUGGGCGAGCGGGCGAGGAGGGUGAGCGAGAGGGCGAGCGUAGCCCCCCUCCCGUGCUGUUUGGACAACUCCAUCAGAACGGUAGUCCCAGCAGCAUGGUGGAACAGAGACCUCUGUGGCCAAAGAGACUGGGUUGGCUGGACAACGGAGAGAGGGAUAACGAUGACUUCUACGCCUUCGGCCACUACCACGGCUUCGGCGAUUCCGCCGAGGAUUUCGAAGACGUUUGCCGGAGUUCGCACGACAGGGCGGUGGCGGCGGCGGCGGCGGCGGCCGCAUCGCGGAAUGGCCUCGCGCCAAGCCAGGUGCACGACCAGAAUAGCAGGAUGUAGCUGAUCUGGGUCCCGAUGCAGACUCGUGGACGUGAAGGCACAUGAAUCACACUGAGAAUCAAUCAGACCCCUACCACCAACACCCGCUCCACUGGGGUCAACUUCAGCUCCAAGGCAUUGUGGGUACCUGGAUGGGGCGGCGAACGUCUCGCCCUGGGAACCCCUUCGAUUGUGUUCACCACUCGCGCGCCACGCAAAGACAAAGAUCCCCCGUGUAGCCUCUACCACCAAGACUGUUGGGGCAAGUGCUGUUGGCGAGCGCCUAUGAAGACCGGCACGGCACACGAACGGGUGGGCGGCCAGCACCACGCCUCCGUGGUGCUGCUACACACACCGCACCAGGGGAGGCCCAGAACGAGUUUAGAUAUUCGCCACUGGUGUUUGCCGUGAGCGAUAAUCGAACUCGGGUCGCCAGAUUUGUAGUGCAGCGUGGCGCUUACCGCUGCUGCACCGCUCCCCGCAUACACACACGCCACGCACGCUACACGCAUACAUGCUACGCGCAGACACGCCACGCACACACACAUGCCACGCACGCCACGCACACACACACCACGCACACACACGCCACGAAUACAGACACGCACCACACGCGCCACGCACACACGCGCCACGCACACACACGCCACACACACACAAACCACGCACACGGCACACACACGGCACUCCACGCACACCCACGGCACCCACGUCACACACGGCACGCCACGCACGCACACAAACAGCGGUAUUGUAAUCAGAUUACCAAAGAUUAGGGACUGGUAAUCCUGUGUGAUUGUCAUUGUAUAAUCAGAUGAUAUGUAUGUGUGUAUGAGUGUCGGUGCGUGUGUAUAUAUGCUGUUGGCACAGUAGGGGGCACAGGUUGUGCAUCAGCCAGUCAUCUCGGUCAUCUCGGUCAGUCAACCUGUGGCACUUGCUGGGUCUGCCCCGUGACCUCCUGCUAGCGGGCGUUCGACACUUCACGUGGCCUCAAGGUGCACAUGGCCUGGCACAAGCGCCGUGGUGACGUCACCGCCACUUAGUGGUGAAUGGCGGUUGUUGUUGUUGCGUGUAGGUGUGUGCGUGUGUGUGUGUUUAUGUGGGGAGCGGAAUGGUAGCGGUUAGCGCUACGCUGCGCUAUGAACCCAGCGACCCGAGUUCGAUUCCCGCCCACGGCCAACACCAGUGACGAUUAUCUGAACCGGUCCCCGGCCUCCCCUAGGUCGACUCAGCCUCAAAUGAGUACCUGGUGCGGUGUGUAAACAUCACCACUGGGGAGACAAAGGCGGUCGGGCGUGGUGCUGGCCACCCACACCACCUCGUGUGCCGUGCUCGCCUUCAUAGGUGCUCGCUAACAGCACUUGCCCCUAGAAUCUGUUAGAGACUAUACGGGGGGGAAAUUUGUGUCUCUGGGUAUGUGUUCGUGUCCGUGCAUAUACACAGUAUACGGUGUGUAAACAUCGCCACUGGGGAGACAAAGGCGGUCGGGCGUGGUGCUGGCCACCCGCCCCCAUCGUGUGCCGUACCAGCCUUUGUCGGUGCUCGCUAACAGCACGUCUCAGGGCUACGUGCUGGGGGCAUCUGUGUAUCUUCGUACAGAGUGUGUGUGCGUGCGCCUGUGUCCCCGUAUGUGUGGGGAGCGCGGUAGUCGUUAGCGCUUUGCACUGCGAGGCCCGGCGACCCGAGUUCGAAUCACGCUCGCACAGCCACCGUCGGUCUCGACUCGCCGUGGCGCGUCAAACAAAUCGGCGGCCGGGGGUACGACGCGCUCACACGGCCUCAACGGAGGUCCCCACCGAGUUUGAUUCCCAUGCGAUUCAAACCUCGGUGGCAUCGUGAUACCGUGCGCCGGUUUUCCGCGCCUUGCAGAAAUGACCGCAACUACUACCGCCAGCCAUCGCCAAAGCCGUACUUGAGCCGGUGUGGUGAUGUAUGGUUCGGAUGAGCGAGCUGCUGCUGCAGGCACUCCGUCCUAUGAACAUUCAGCCUCGGGUGCACCCCCAGAGGAAAGCAGGACCACGUGACUGGGGCCUGCGAUUGGGUAAAGUCUCUCAACCCCCGUCCACUCCGUCCACAUCUAAGGGGGGGGUGGAUAAACUAAAAGGCAAAGGGUUAAAACUUUGUCGUUUCGAUUUAAAGCUUUGGUGACUGCAGGGAUUCGUCUUCUUGGUUCUUUCGGUAAAGUCACGU